rnacentral:rRNA from 1 species
CAAUAGCGUAUAUUUAAGUUGUUGCAGUUAAAAAGCUCGUAGUUGGAUUUCGGGUGGGACGCAGCGGUCUCGCAUUGCGUUUGUACUGCUGCAGCCCUCCUUCUUGCCGGGGGCGGCCUCUCGGACUCCACUGUCUGGGGGUCAGAAUCGGCGAUGUUACUUUGAGUAAAUUAGAGUGUUCAAAGCAAGCUUACGCUCUGAAUAUAAUAGCAUGGGAUAACACGACAGGACUCUGGCCUAUCGUGUUGGUCUAUAGGACCAGAGUAAUGAUUAAGAGGGACAGUCGGGGGCAUUCGUAUUCCGUUGUCAGAGGUGAAAUUCUUGGAUUUACGGAAGACGAACAUCUGCGAAAGCAUUUGCCAAGGAUGUUUUCAUUGA